UACGGAGGGUGCAAGCGUUGUUCGGAAUCACUGGGCGUAAAGGGCGCGUAGGCGGUCCGCUAAGUCUGAUGUGAAAGCCCGGGGCUUACCCCCGGAAGGGCAUUGGAAACUGGCGGACUCGAGUCCCGGAGAGGAAGGUGGAAUUCCUGGUGUAGCGGUGAAAUGCGUAGAUAUCAGGAGGAAUACCGGUGGCGAAGGCGGCCUUCUGGACGGUGACUGACGCUGAGACGCGAAAGCGUGGGGAGCAAACAGG
rnacentral:rRNA from 1 species